GACUCACUUCAGCAGCUCAUAUGAUAAAAUUGGAAUGAUUCAGAGAUUUGCAUGGCCCCUGUGCAAGGAUGCCCCGCUCCUAUUUGGUACCCUGCCUCAGUGA